AGAGUUUGAUCCUGGCUCAGGAUGAACGCUGGCGGCGUGCCUAAUACAUGCAAGUCGAGCGAACGGACGAGAAGCUUGCUUCUCUGAUGUUAGCGGCGGACGGGUGAGUAACACGUGGAUAACCUACCUAUAAGACUGGGAUAACUUCGGGAAACCGGAGCUAAUACCGGAUAAUAUUUUGAACCGCAUGGUUCAAAAGUGAAAGACGGUCUUGCUGUCACUUAUAGAUGGAUCCGCGCUGCAUUAGCUAGUUGGUAAGGUAACGGCUUACCAAGGCAACGAUGCAUAGCCGACCUGAGAGGGUGAUCGGCCACACUGGAACUGAGACACGGUCCAGACUCCUACGGGAGGCAGCAGUAGGGAAUCUUCCGCAAUGGGCGAAAGCCUGACGGAGCAACGCCGCGUGAGUGAUGAAGGUCUUCGGAUCGUAAAACUCUGUUAUUAGGGAAGAACAUAUGUGUAAGUAACUGUGCACAUCUUGACGGUACCUAAUCAGAAAGCCACGGCUAACUACGUGCCAGCAGCCGCGGUAAUACGUAGGUGGCAAGCGUUAUCCGGAAUUAUUGGGCGUAAAGCGCGCGUAGGCGGUUUUUUAAGUCUGAUGUGAAAGCCCACGGCUCAACCGUGGAGGGUCAUUGGAAACUGGAAAACUUGAGUGCAGAAGAGGAAAGUGGAAUUCCAUGUGUAGCGGUGAAAUGCGCAGAGAUAUGGAGGAACACCAGUGGCGAAGGCGACUUUCUGGUCUGUAACUGACGCUGAUGUGCGAAAGCGUGGGGAUCAAACAGGAUUAGAUACCCCGGUAGUCCACGCCGUAAACGAUGAGUGCUAAGUGUUAGGGGGUUUCCGCCCCUUAGUGCUGCAGCUAACGCAUUAAGCACUCCGCCUGGGGAGUACGACCGCAAGGUUGAAACUCAAAGGAAUUGACGGGGACCCGCACAAGCGGUGGAGCAUGUGGUUUAAUUCGAAGCAACGCGAAGAACCUUACCAAAUCUUGACAUCCUUUGACAACUCUAGAGAUAGAGCCUUCCCCUUCGGGGGACAAAGUGACAGGUGGUGCAUGGUUGUCGUCAGCUCGUGUCGUGAGAUGUUGGGUUAAGUCCCGCAACGAGCGCAACCCUUAAGCUUAGUUGCCAUCAUUAAGUUGGGCACUCUAAGUUGACUGCCGGUGACAAACCGGAGGAAGGUGGGGAUGACGUCAAAUCAUCAUGCCCCUUAUGAUUUGGGCUACACACGUGCUACAAUGGACAAUACAAAGGGCAGCGAAACCGCGAGGUCAAGCAAAUCCCAUAAAGUUGUUCUCAGUUCGGAUUGUAGUCUGCAACUCGACUACAUGAAGCUGGAAUCGCUAGUAAUCGUAGAUCAGCAUGCUACGGUGAAUACGUUCCCGGGUCUUGUACACACCGCCCGUCACACCACGAGAGUUUGUAACACCCGAAGCCGGUGGAGUAACCUUUUAGGAGCGAGCCGUCGAAGGUGGGACAAAUGAUUGGGGUGAAGUCGUAACAGGUAGCCGUAUCGGAAGGUGCGGCUG
rnacentral:rRNA from 1 species